GCUGGGCGUGGUGGCGCACGCCUGUAGUCCCAGCUACUCGGGAGGCUGAGGCAGGAGAAUCACUUGAACCUGGGAGACAGAGGUUGCAGUGAGCUGAGAUCGCGUCACUGCACCCCAGCCUGGGUGACAGAGUGAGACUCUGCCCCCG
rfam:Homo sapiens chromosome 19, GRCh38 reference primary assembly.